AUACUUACCUGGCACAGGAGUGACUUUGAUCAAGAAGGAAUGUCCUCCCAAGGUGAGGCCUCGGCAUUGCACUUGGCUGAGAUUGACCCUUGCGAUUCCCCCAAAUGUGGGGAACUCGGGUGUAUAAUUUAUGGUAGCGGGAGACUGCGUUCGCGCUAACCCCUA
rnacentral:snRNA from 1 species